GUUUACUAUUUUGGUGGCGACCGGCGCACGGGUGAGUAACGCGUAUGUAACCUACCUUAUACAGGAGUAUAGCCCGAAGAAAUUCGGAUUAAUCCUCCAUAGUAUUUUCUAAUGGCAUCAUUUGGAAAAUUAAAGCUUCGGCGGUAUAAGAUGGGCAUGCGUCCUAUUAGCUAGAUGGUAAGGUAAUGGCUUACCAUGGCUACGAUAGGUAGGGGGCCUGAGAGGGUGAUCCCCCACACUGGUACUGAGACACGGACCAGACUCCUACGGGAGGCAGCAGUGAGGAAUAUUGGUCAAUGGGCGCAAGCCUGAACCAGCCAUGCCGCGUGCAGGAAGAAUGCCCUAUGGGUUGUAAACUGCUUUUAUUUAGGAAUAAACCCCUCUACGUGUAGAGGGCUGAAUGUACUAAACGAAUAAGCACCGGCUAACUCCGUGCCAGCAGCCGCGGUAAUACGGAGGGUGCAAGCGUUAUCCGGAAUCAUUGGGUUUAA
rnacentral:rRNA from 1 species